UACGUAGGUGGCAAGCGUUGUCCGGAAUUAUUGGGCGUAAAGCGCGCGCAGGCGGUCUUUUAAGUCUGAUGUGAAAGCCCACGGCUCAACCGUGGAGGGUCAUUGGAAACUGGGAGACUUGAGUGCAGAAAAGAAGAGUGGAAUUCCACGUGUAGCGGUGAAAUGCGUAGAGAUGUGGAGGAACACCAGUGGCGAAGGCGGCAUCCUGGACCAACACUGACGCUGAGUGAGCGAAAGCGUGGGGAGCAAACAGG
rnacentral:rRNA from 1 species